rnacentral:piRNA from 1 species
GAGAGGUGUAAUCUCCUUUCUCCUGAACC